UACGAAGGGAGCUAGCGUUGUUCGGAAUCACUGGGCGUAAAGAGCUCGUAGGCGGCCAGUUACGUCCGCUGUGAAAUCCCGGGGCUCAACCCCGGGCGUGCAGUGGAUACGGGCUGGCUGGAGGCAGGCAGGGGAGAACGGAAUUCCUGGUGUAGCGGUGAAAUGCGCAGAUAUCAGGAGGAACACCGGUGGCGAAGGCGGUUCUCUGGGCCUGUUCUGACGCUGAGGAGCGAAAGCGUGGGGAGCGAACAGG
rnacentral:rRNA from 1 species